GAUGAACGCUGGCGGCGUGCCUAAUACAUGCAAGUCGAGCGAACAGACGAGGAGCUUGCUCCUCUGACGUUAGCGGCGGACGGGUGAGUAACACGUGGAUAACCUACCUAUAAGACUGGGAUAACUUCGGGAAACCGGAGCUAAUACCGGAUAAUUUAUUGAACCGCAUGGUUCAAUAGUGAAAGACGGUUUUGCUGUCACUUAUAGAUGGAUCCGCGCCGCAUUAGCUAGUUGGUAAGGUAACGGCUUACCAAGGCGACGAUGCGUAGCCGACCUGAGAGGGUGAUCGGCCACACUGGAACUGAGACACGGUCCAGACUCCUACGGGAGGCAGCAGUAGGGAAUCUUCCGCAAUGGGCGAAAGCCUGACGGAGCAACGCCGCGUGAGUGAUGAAGGUCUUCGGAUCGUAAAACUCUGUUAUUAGGGAAGAACAAAUGUGUAAGUAACUAUGCACGUCUUGACGGUACCUAAUCAGAAAGCCACGGCUAACUACGU
rnacentral:rRNA from 1 species